CGCGUAGACGGUAAAGCAAGUCUGAAGUGAAAGCCCGGGGCUCAACCCCGGGACUGCUUUGGAAACUGUUUAACUAGAGUGCUGGAGAGGUAAGCGGAAUUCCUAGUGUAGCGGUGAAAUGCGUAGAUAUUAGGAGGAACACCAGUGGCGAAGGCGGCUUACUGGACAGUAACUGACGUUGAGGCUCGAAAGCGUGGGGAGCAAACA
rnacentral:rRNA from 1 species